rnacentral:lncRNA from 1 species
CACCACGGCAGGCCUGGGAUGCUGAUGGAGGAGGGAGCAGCGUGCAGCAGCUCCCAGAGAGUGGGAGAUGUGGAGAGAGCAUCUCACACACACCCAGAGAGCAGGAGAACGGGGACAGGAGCAGGUUUGGAAGUUUACAGCUGCUAAGCAGUGAUGCUUCUCCCCAUCUGUAGAUCUCAGAGCUUGCUGCUGAGAGUUCUCCUGCCUUGCAACCAGAUCUCAUCUCCCUGAGCUUUCCAUGGCCCCUUGUGCUGCUGUGUAAAAUAUUCCUUUGGCUCUGGAAAUUUGACCCAUUUUUAUUUUCAGACCAGAGAGUUUGAGAGUGUAUGGUUGUUUUGUAACGUGAUGUUUACUCGUCUAAAGCAAAUAAUUAUGGCAAGUGAUGCAACACCUUGAGGAAUUAAAAUCUUGGCUAUUUUCCAGAAGAAAGGAGAACUUAUGUCCAUUCUUGGUUUGGUGUGAACUUUAAAAAUUAAAAAAAAAUAAAAUAAAGAUAUCUCUUCA